rnacentral:rRNA from 1 species
UACAGAGGCCUCGAGCGUUAGGCGGAAUCACUGGGCUUAAAGCGUGUGUAGGCGGACUUCUAAGUACCUUGUGAAAUCCCACGGCUUACCCGUGGAACGGCUGGGUAUACUGGGAGUCUUGAGCCACCUAGGGGCGAGUGGAACAAAUGGUGGAGCGGUGAAAUGCGUAGAUAUCAGUUGGAACGCCAAUGGUGAAAACAACUCGCUGGGGGUGUGCUGACGCUGAGACACGAAAGCCAGGGGAGCGAACGGG